UACGGGAGGCAGCAGGGGGAAUAUUGCACAAUGGGCGAAAGCCUGAUGCAGCUAUGCCGCGUGUAUGAAGAAGGCCUUAGGGUUGUAAAGUACUUUCAUCGGGGAGGAAAAACAAAACUAAUAAUUUUAUUUCUUGACGUUACCCGAAAAAGAAGCACCGGCUAACUCCGUGCCAGCAGCCGCGGUAAUACGGAGGGUGCUAGCGUUAAUCAGAAUUACUGGGCGUAAAGAGCACGUAGGUGGUUUUUUUAAGUUCAGAUGUGAAAUCCCUGGGCUUAACCUAGGAACUGCAUUUUGAAACUGAAAUACUAGAGUAUCGUAGAGGGAGGUAGAAUUCUAGGUGUAGCGGUGAAAUGCGUAGAUAUCUGGAGGAAUACCUGUGGCGAAAGCGGCCUCCUAAACGAAUACUGACACUGAGGUGCGAAAGCGUGGGGAGCAAACGAGGGAUUAGAUACC
rnacentral:rRNA from 1 species